rnacentral:rRNA from 1 species
GGGCCCGCACAAGCGGUGGAGCAUGUGGUUUAAUUCGAUGAUACGCGAGGAACCUUACCAGGGCUUAAAUGGGAAAUGACAGGGGCAGAGACGCCCCCUUCUUCGGACAUUUUUCAAGGUGCUGCAUGGUUGUCGUCAGCUCGUGCCGUGAGGUGUCAGGUUAAGUCCUAUAACGAGCGCAACCCCUACCGUUAGUUGCCAGCGUGUAAUGACGGGGACUCUAACGGAACUGCCGGUGCAAACCGUGAGGAAGGUGGGGACGACGUCAAAUCAUCACGGCCCUUACGUCCUGGCCACACACGUGCUACAAUGGUUGGUACAGAGGGCAGCUACCUAGUGAUAGGAUGCA